AUUCAGCGAGAAAGUAUUCUUGAUUAACGUUAACGAUUGACUUAUGCAUUCAAAAAUAUAAUUAUUAGAUUCAAAACGAUUUUCUCAACAAAUUAUUGAACAAAAGUAUCCUUCUAUAUCAUUGAAUUUACGUCGAUUUGAUCUACGUUACCUCGUAGAAAAAGGUUAUGUGAUGUUAUUCAAUGAUAAGAAGAAGUUGCAAAGUGAAGUUUGGAUUGAAAGUUCAUUCAGUACAUCAGCAAUUUAAACUUCUAUGUCUUCAAAUUUUUCAGGAACAAAACUUUGUGAAAUCUGAUGAAAUAUAUUCAAAUAGAACAGUUAGAAGGAAAAUAAACAUUACUAAAGAUAUCGCUGAAAGAAACGCAAUAGUUUGUAGUGUUUAGUAAUUUCUAUUCGAAAUUAUAAAGCCAUGAACAAUAUUUUACAUCGGAUAACUAUUAGGAUAGUGAAAAGAAUGGAAAAAGAACUUAGACGAAGAAAUAAGGAGAUGUUUGAGACAAUUUUUUGAUGCUUGAUUUAUAUGAUGCUGUCAUGAUAUUUAAAGAGGAUAAUGUAGGCAGAUUCGAGGAGGUAAGAGGUAAAACCUCCAUAUUGAAAAAACUGAAUAAGAUGCAAGUUGAUGAUGAAGAAUUAUAAGCUUCUAUAUUUUCUUAAAAGACAAGAUCUGUGAAAAGAUGAAAGAAAAUACAUUUGUAUAAUAGAGAACAAGAUGAACAUCAUAAUGAUUGAUGAUCUUAAUUAUUGUUUUUACUAAAAAAUUGAUUUGGGAAAAAGAGAAACUAUGGAAGUGUCAUUAAAAGAAAAUGAACAAAAAAUGUCGUUUAAAAAUGUCAACAAUCUCACAUCCAUUUAGGAGUUUUAUUAUGCUCAAUCAAAGGAGCUCAUGAAAGAUUCAUUAUUUUCCAUGCAUAAAAAGAAGGAACCAAGAUUUAAAUAUCGUAUAGUCACGAUCUAAGACAAUUGUAAUCUACCAAAAGCUUGGUAUUUGGAUGGACCGAUAAGACAACACUUAUACAAAAUAUCCUCUACUGUUUUUCAUCUUACAGCUUCACAUAGUACAUUGAUCAUUUUUGUCAGGCGCGUAUUUGCGUCCAUAGUUCAUACUGAUAGCAUCUGGCGAGCGCGUAUUUGCGUUUACAGUCUAUAUCGAUAGCUUUCGCUGGACGCAUAUGUGCGCCCAUAACACUCAAAGGGUUAAUGAGAAAAUAAAAUCGAUUACAGGUAUUAACAGGUUCGAUAGUUAGAGUAAAUCGGUGACGAGAUAAAACGAAAAUGAAAUGGAAAAAAAAAUAGAUAUGAAAGAGUAAGAGUAUAUGGAGAUGAUAUGGUGAGAAAGAGAAAGAAUGAGAUAGAACGUUAAUUUCACGUUUCUAUUUACAUUAAUGUUUUUCUGUGAUAUAAAUUGAUAUAAUGUGAUAUAAAUUGGCAAUAUAAUUUGUAUCGAUACGUAAUAUAAUUUGGUAACAUAAAUAGAGAAGUAUCAUGUCCGCAUUGCGUCAGGAUUUAUUAUAAAUACUAUUAUAAUAAAUGAUCUAUCUAUUUAAAAUAAUUAUAAAUUAUUUACAUUUACAAAUUAUUUACAUUUUAAUUAAAAUAUUUAUAGUUUUCGUAUUAAUCGAUUUAAU